GACGAACGCUGGCGGCGUGCCUAAUACAUGCAAGUAGAACGCACAGUUUAUACCGUAGCUUGCUACACCAUAGACUGUGAGUUGCGAACGGGUGAGUAACGCGUAGGUAACCUGCCUGGUAGCGGGGGAUAACUAUUGGAAACGAUAGCUAAUACCGCAUAAUAUUAAUUAUUGCAUGAUAAUUAAUUGAAAGGUGCAAUUGCACCACUACCAGAUGGACCUGCGUUGUAUUAGCUAGUAGGUGAGGUAACGGCUCACCUAAGCGACGAUACAUAGCCGACCCGGGAGGGUGGUCGGCCACCCUGGGAAUGGGAACCGGCCCAGAAUCCCUCGGGAAGCAGCAAGAGGGAAUCUUGGGGCAUGGGCGGAAGGCUGACCGAGCAACGCCGGGGGAGUGAAGAAGGUUGUCGGAUCGUAAAGGUCUGUUGUAAGAGAAGAAAGGGUGUGAGAGUGGAAAGUUCACACUGUGACGGUAUCUGAACAGAAAGCGACGGCUAACUACGUG
rnacentral:rRNA from 1 species